rnacentral:misc_RNA from 1 species
UCCGGUUUGUCACCGGCAGUCACGCCAGAGUGCUCAGCUUUACCUGCUAGCAACUGGCAUCGAGGGUUGCGCUCGUUGCGGGACUUAACCCAACAUCUCACGACACGAGCUGACGACAGCCAUGCACCACCUGUCUUGGGGUUCCUUGCGGCACCCCCUAGUUUCCUAAGGGUUCCCCAGAUGUCAAGCCUUGGUAAGGUUCUUCGCGUUGCAUCGAAUUAAACCACAUGCUCCACCGCUUGUGCGGGCCCCCGUCAAUUCCUUUGAGUUUCAGUCUUGCGACCGUACUCCCCAGGCGGGAUACUUAACGCGUUAGCUACGGCACUGAGGGGGUCGAUACCCUCAACACCCAGUAUCCAUCGUUUACGGCUCGGACUAC